UACGGAGGGUCCAAGCGUUGUCCGGAAUUACUGGGCGUAAAGAGCGUGUAGGCGGCCAAACAGGUCCGUUGUGAAAACUGGAGGCUUAACCUCCAGACGUCGACGGAAACCGUGUGGCUAGAGUCCGGAAGAGGAGAGUGGAAUUCCUGGUGUAGCGGUGAAAUGCGCAGAUAUCAGGAAGAACACCAAUGGCGAAGGCAGCUCUCUGGGACGGUACUGACGCUGAGACGCGAAAGCGUGGGGAGCGAACAGG
rnacentral:rRNA from 1 species